rnacentral:rRNA from 1 species
AUUGAACGCUGGCGGCAGGCCUAACACAUGCAAGUCGAGCGGUAGAGAGAAGCUUGCUUCUCUUGAGAGCGGCGGACGGGUGAGUAAUGCCUAGGAAUCUGCCUGGUAGUGGGGGAUAACGUUCGGAAACGGACGCUAAUACCGCAUACGUCCUACGGGAGAAAGCAGGGGACCUUCGGGCCUUGCGCUAUCAGAUGAGCCUAGGUCGGAUUAGCUAGUUGGUGGGGUAAUGGCUCACCAAGGCGACGAUCCGUAACUGGUCUGAGAGGAGGAUCAGUCACACUGGAACUGAGACACGGUCCAGACUCCUACGGGAGGCAGCAGUGGGGAAUAUUGGACAAUGGGCGAAAGCCUGAUCCAGCCAUGCCGCGUGUGUGAAGAAGGUCUUCGGAUUGUAAAGCACUUUAAGUUGGGAGGAAGGGCAGUAAAUUAAUACUUUGCUGUUUUGACGUUACCGACAGAAUAAGCACCGGCUAACUCUGUG